rnacentral:rRNA from 1 species
UAGGGAAUCUUCCGCAAUGGACGAAAGUCUGACGGAGCAACGCCGCGUGAGUGAAGAAGGUUUUCGGAUCGUAAAACUCUGUUGUUAGGGAAGAACAAGUACCGUUCGAAUAGGGCGGUACCUUGACGGUACCUAACCAGAAAGCCACGGCUAACUACGUGCCAGCAGCCGCGGUAAUACGUAGGUGGCAACCGUUGUCCGGAAUUAUUGGGCGUAAAGCGCGCGCAGGCGGUUUCUUAAGUCUGAUGUGAAAGCCCCCGGCUCAACCGGGGAGGGUCAUUGGAAACUGGGGAACUUGAGUGCAGAAGAGGAGAGUGGAAUUCCACGUGUAGCGGUGAAAUGCGUAGAGAUGUGGAGGAACACCAGUGGCGAAGGCGACUCUCUGGUCUGUAACUGACGCUGAGGCGCGAAAGCGAGGGGAGCGAACAGGAUUAGAUACCCUGGUAGUCCACGCCGUAAACGAUGAGUGCUAAGUGUUAGAGGGUUUCCGCCCUUUAGUGCUGCAGCAAACGCAUUAAGCACUCCGCCUGGGGAGUACGG